UACGUAGGGGGCAAGCGUUGUCCGGAUUUAUUGGGCGUAAAGAGCUCGUAGGCGGUUUGGUAAGUCUGGUGUGAAAUCUCCACGCUCAACGUGGAGGGGCCACCCGAUACUGCCAUGACUGGAGUCCGGUAGAGGAGUGUGGAAUUCCCGGUGUAGCGGUGAAAUGUGUAGAGAUCGGGAGGAACACCGGUGGCGAAGGCGGGUCUCUGGGCAAUUCCUGACGCUGAGGCGCGAAAGCGUGGGGAGCAAACGGG
rnacentral:rRNA from 1 species